CUUAUUUGGGAAGGGAGACACUGAUCACGAAGCUGGUUCCCACUGGCGGAGUGUGAUCACUGCGGCUGUGCAGACUCCGGCGACUUCACAGAUAUGAG
rnacentral:snRNA from 1 species